rnacentral:rRNA from 1 species
CGGGAAACUGAGGUCAAUUCCGGAUACUGCUUUCAUGUUGGAACACAGAAAGUCGGAAACGGUCCGCCGCCGGAGGACGUAACUGCGGCCGAUUAGGUAGAUGGUGGGGUAACGGCCCACCAUGCCGAUAAUUGGUACGGGUUGUGAGAGCAAGAACCCGGAGACGGUAUCUGAGACAAGAUACCGGGCCCUACGGGGCGCAGCAGGCGCGAAACCUUUACACUGCACGACAGUGCGAUAAGGGGACCCCGAGUGCGAGGGCAUACAGUCCUCGCUUUUCGUGACCGUAAGGUGGUCACAGAAUAAGAGCUGGGCAAGACCGGUGCCAGCCGCCGCGGUAAUACCGGCAGCUCGAGUGAUAGCCACUUUUAUUGGGCCUAAAGCGUCCGUAGCCGGCCGAACGGGUCCGUCGGGAAAUCCACUCGCUCAACGAGUGGACGUCCGGCGGAAACCAGUCGGCUUGGGGCCGGGAGACCAGAGAGGUACGUCCGGGGUAGGAGUGAAAUCCUGUAAUCCUGGACGGACCGCCGGUAGCGAAAGCGUCUCUGGAGAACGGACCCGACGGUGAGGGACGAAAGCUUGGGUCUCGAACCGGAUUAGAUACCCGGGU